rnacentral:rRNA from 1 species
UACGUAGGGGGCAAGCGUUGUCCGGGUUUACUGGGCGUAAAGAGCGCGCAGGCGGUCGUUCAAGUCGAGUGUGAAAGCCCCCGGCUCAACUGGGGAGGGUCAUUCGAUACUGAUCGACUUGAAGGCAGGAGAGGGAAGUGGAAUUCCCGGUGUAGUGGUGAAAUGCGUAGAUAUCGGGAGGAACACCAGUGGCGAAGGCGACUUCCUGGCCUGUUCUUGACGCUGAGGCGCGAAAGCUAGGGGAGCAAACGGG